GUGAGGAAUAUUGGUCAAUGGGCGAGAGCCUGAACCAGCCAAGUCGCGUGAAGGAAGAAGGAUCUAUGGUUCGUAAACUUCUUUUGCAGGGGAAUAAAGUGCGGGACGUGUCCUGUUUUGUAUGUACCCUGAGAAUAAGGAUCGGCUAACUCCGUGCCAGCAGCCGCGGUAAUACGGAGGAUCCGAGCGUUAUCCGGAUUUAUUGGGUUUAAAGGGUGCGUAGGUGGUUUGAUAAGUCAGCGGUGAAAGUUUGCAGCUUAACUGUAAAAAUGCCGUUGAAGCUGUCGGACUUGAGUGUAAAUGAGGUAGGCGGAAUGCGUGGUGUAGCGGUGAAAUGCAUAGAUAUCACGCAGAACUCCGAUUGCGAAGGCAGCUUACUAAGCUACAACUGACACUGAAGCACGAAAGCGUGGGGAUCAAACAGGAUUAGAUACCCGUGUAGUCC
rnacentral:rRNA from 1 species